rnacentral:rRNA from 1 species
AUUGAACGCUGGCGGCAGGCUUAACACAUGCAAGUCGAGCGGAGUGAUGGUGCUUGCACUAUCACUUAGCGGCGGACGGGUGAGUAAUGCUUAGGAAUCUGCCAUUUAGUGGGGGACAACAUUCCGAAAGGAAUGCUAAUACCGCAUACGUCCUACGGGAGAAAGCAGGGGAUCUUCGGACCUUGCGCUAAAUGAUGAGCCUAAGUCGGAUUAGCUAGUUGGUGGGGUAAAGGCCUACCAAGGCGACGAUCUGUAGCGGGUCUGAGAGGAUGAUCCGCCACACUGGGACUGAGACACAGCCCAGACUCCUACGGGAGGCAGCAGUGGGGAAUAUUGGACAAUGGGCGGAAGCCUGAUCCAGCCAUGCCGCGUGUGUGAAGAAGGCCUUUUGGUUGUAAAGCACUUUAAGCGAGGAGGAGGCUCUCCUAGUUAAUACCUAGGAAGAGUGGACGUUACUCGCAGAAUAAGCACCGGCUAACUCUGUGCCAGCCGCCGCCGUAAUAC